AGUUCUUCAAAUUGCAAAGUUGCUGUAAGAUUGAUUUGCCAGAAAUGUGUGGAUGAAGAAGUGCUGUAAUCUCACUGCAUUUUGACAAAACAGAAGUCCUCUCCUUUUAUUUUUUUGAAAUCCUUACUGCCUCUCCCUUUCCUCUCUAUGGCAGGAUACGCAAUUUCAUCCUAGGAGUAAACAGUCAAGCUUGUACCAGAAGCUGAUGGAGGACACAGAAGUUGGCUUUCAAAUGACAAGGCUUUUCAGAUUCAUGCAUCCCCUGAGCUUCCUUGAAUCUGCUGAGACCACAGAGAAGUGCAUUUUAAUUCAGUGAAUUCAACGAUGUCCUCACUGUGUCAUGAAGACACAAUCCUGAUGUGAGUCAGCACUCAGGACACAGCAGAACAUCCUUAACAGGUACCUUCAAACUAAAGAGACAGAAGAGAUAUCUGAAACAGUCCAAAAGUGUUGUCUGUUCAUCUGACUCAAACCAGGAUCCAGGCUGUGCAAUCCCAACUUCACCAUCCAUGGAGGUGAAGGAAUCAAAACAAGAGCUGAAUCCUCAUGUGAAAAUAUUGCAGUUCACUCGCUUUACUUCAGAGACAGUUUUCUUGGUAUAUUUUUCCAGCAGGUAAGGCUGCCACACCUACAGGCCAUAAUCCUCCUUGUCUGAAGCCAAAUAACACAAGGAAUCAAAAUGCCUUCGUGAGCUUUGAAAUGAAACAGUAAGAAGCCUAGAGAAGAUAAUUCCAUUACAAUUUUAUAGCUGGGCUCAUCCAGUAUAGUCAAUGAAGGAGAUAGACAGUAAUCACAACUGAAAUUGCUUUUGAAAAGAUUGGUUUAUUUUUGCUUAGUUUCAGAUCCAGGCAAAAGAAUCACUCAAAAAAUCAGAAUUCUGCUGUAUUUCUUACCUUUUUUUUUUUUUUUUUCCCUUUUCUUUUCUUUUUUUUUCUCCCUAAAAAUUGCUUCACACAUACUGUUACAUUGUCUUACAGUUCUCAUCUGGCUGUUUCUUGGCGCCCUUGAGAGCACUAGCUAAAUGGCUGAUCUCCAGGAAGGUAAGAGCCUUGUUUAUUUUUGCUUUACCUUCCCUCCCUCCUGAGAACCGCUAUGACCACAGACAGGAGCAGGGAAGCUGGGUAUCGGAAACACAUGCUUUGCACUGGUGAGAUUGAAGAAGAGCUGUGUUUGCUCUGUGGCACUGCACGCAGCCAGACUCUGUGCAAGGGCUGCAGAUCUAAGGCAAGAGACAAGAGGAUACUAUCUCCUCCUAAGGCUGGUCUGUCAACCCUAGCAGAUGAAUAAAGAUCUGUGUCACAGAAAUAUUUCAUGGCUUCUUUGUUUGUUCUGGGUGUUCAGGUGAUCAGUGCUGUCAUUGUUUGACUAUUAAUGUUAUAUCUGAACUAGGAGAAGUUAUUGAACAGUCCCAAGAGAAGUUAACAGCAACUGAAAGGUCUCCUUCAGAGAAUUUACUAAAGCAACACAACAGAAGUUGAAUAAUGCCUCCCUCGGAUUGUCUCUAGCUGGCUUCAAGUGGCUGGCCACAUUCACUUAACACUAACCAAUGAGGAAUUAAUCUCAUCAGUUUUAUCUCUGCAGACACCUCCUUGUAGAGCUAUUUGUACUCAUCAGAGCAAACUCUUAAGAAAAGUAAGGCUAACAACCGAGUGUAUCAGAGGAGCUGUCUGAAGCACAUGCUACCCAGAUCGCUGGAACUGACUUUUCAGAUAUGCUCAUUACACCGAGCACAAACCCCAGGACGCUGACAUGGUGUGAGGAAGGUCCACCCAGCUUGUGGCAGAGAGCAUUUAGGUCUCUUGUGACUCAGAGAUGGUGGAAACACAGAUCUUGUCCCUGAUUCUCUUCACUCCCCUUACCUACAGCUUCCCCCCAUUCCCAAGCCAUGAAGAUUUCAAAUGCUGGAAGUAUCCUGGUUCUGAAGCCUGUGCCCCGAAGGCAGCAAAGAAAGACAGUCUACCUUCUGCAGGACUCAAUCUCAUAGACAUGGUCUCAAACAGUGCGAAAAACAGAUGGCUCUUGCUUCUGUUGGGGUAAAAAUGCCAGUGCUGUUUAUAAUAAUGGCUUUAUUUUUCUCCAUUGGAGAGGUUUGAAAUGCAGAAUAGUCAGCAUUCCACAAUUUCUGCCCACAAGCAAGUGUGAGAUGGCUCCAAGAUACCUCGCUUCCUUGUGCUGCAGAAGUUUUCUAAUGAGAAGCCAAACUUCUGAAAACUGGAGAUGCUGCAGCACACACAGCCCUUGGAGAGGAACCCUGUAAAGCCAAGUGGAAGUGGAAUUAAAUCAGGCUGCGCCAGAAACUGACAGAAACCUAUAGCAAUGAACAGAGUGCCUGUUUCAAAUAAAUAGUUAAAACUUACAAAUACUAAGCUUUUCCAGGAGUUCGUCCCACAGCCAAUACUAGUAAGUGUUUUUCAGCCUCUGAUUAAGCUAUGUGUCUUAACAGGCAUUUGGACACACUACAAUCAUUUUAAAAAUUCUUCCCAUAAUAAAGCAUAUAGUGCAUAAUAAAGUGCAGAAAUAUUUGCUGAGGCAUGUUUCUGCUGCUUCUUUGAUGCAUCAGUUUUCUACUGUAAGUAGAAAUGUAGCCUGCAUCCAGCGAUUAGCUGUCAGGGAGGAAAGGGAAGGGAAGGAGCUGUACAAGUGCAUUUCAGCCGACUUCUACCACUAGGGGCUAAGCACAGUAAUCCAAACCAGAUGUAGGGGAAAAAAAGAGAGACGCACAAAUACGAUCAUUCUAAUGCCUGUUUGAUUUCCCACAUUUGUAAGUGCUUUACUGAUGAAAAUUCAAGCGUGUUCAUGAGGCAAAUGUUCACAUCCAUUUCUGC